rnacentral:rRNA from 1 species
UACGUAGGAGGCAAGCGUUGUCCGGAAUUACUGGGCGUAAAGCGCGUGUAGGUGGUGGGACAAGUCUGCUGUGAAAGCGCCUGGCUUAACCGGGCGAGGUCGGCGGAAACUGUCCGACUAGAGGACGGUAGAGGGGGGUGGAAUUCCCGGUGUAGUGGUGAAAUGCGUAGAGAUCCGGAAGAACACCGGUGGCGAAGGCGGCCUGCUGGGCAGUUGCUGACACUGAGGCGCGACAGCGUGGGGAGCAAACAGG